UNUGACUUGAGUGCAGAAGGGGAGAGUGGAAUUCCAUGUGUAGCGGUGAAAUGCGUAGAUAUAUGGAGGANCACCAGUGGCGAAAGCGGCUCUCUGGUCUGUCACUGACGCUGAGGCUCGAAAGCGUGGGUAGCGAACAGGAUUAGAUACCCUGGUAGUCCACGCCGUAAACGAUGAGUGCUAGGUGUUAGGCCCUUUCCGGGGCUUAGUGCCGGAGCUAACGCAAUAAGCACUCCGCCUGGGGAGUACGACCGCAAGGUUGAAACUCAAAGGAAUUGACGGGGGCCCGCACAAGCGGUGGAGCAUGUGGUUUAAUUCGAAGCAACGCGAAGAACCUUACCAGGUCUUGACAUCCCGAUGCUAUUCUUAGAGAUAGGAAGUUACUUCGGUACAUCGGAGACAGGUGGUGCAUGGUUGUCGUCAGCUCGUGUCGUGAGAUGUUGGGUUAAGUCCCGCAACGAGCGCAACCCUUAUUGUUAGUUGCCAUCAUUAAGUUGGGCACUCUAGCGAGACUGCCGGUAAUAAACCGGAGGAAGGUGGGGAUGACGUCAAAUCAUCAUGCCCCUUAUGACCUGGGCUACACACGUGCUACAAUGGUCGGUACAACGAGUUGCGAGCCGGUGACGGCAAGCUAAUCUCUGAAAGCCGAUCUCAGUUCGGAUUGGAGGCUGCAACUCGCCUCCAUGAAGUCGGAAUCGCUAGUAAUCGCGGAUCAGCACGCCGCGGUGAAUACGUUCCCGGGCCUUGUACACACCGCCCGUCACACCACGAGAGUUUGUAACACCCGAAGUCGGUGAGGUAACCUUUUAGGGGCCAGCC
rnacentral:rRNA from 1 species